rnacentral:lncRNA from 1 species
UGACGAUAAGGGCAUGUAAAGGUUGUAAACAAUCAUUCAGAGUGAUGGUCAAAUAAAAGAAAAUCGAUCAUUUUAAAGAAAAGGAUUAUAUUUCAAAACAUUUUAAUCUAGCGGUGCUUGCCGAAUUCGUCCAUGUAUAUAUAUACAUACCGGAGAGGCGAAUGAUGAUGGCGAACGGUGGUGAGCGCGACGACAGUGGCCCACUGCUCGAAUUCACCUCUCCUCUUUCUGCUGCCGCCAUGUAUCCAGGAUCAGCGAAGAAGCACCAAAGGGAUUGCUCUUCUCUCCCUUGUUUCCUUUCUCUCCUUGAACCCUAUUUACGGGGAGAGGAGGAAUACCGAGAUCGGCAAGUAGCUGAACCCUUUCUCCGGUUUCUUUCGCCUUUUUGUUUCCCUUCCUGAUGGUUAUUAGGCCGGAUCGUUCUAUGAUGGUGUGAAGUGAUUCCGGAUCUCUCUCGCUACGUUCCGUUGACGUGAUCCUUCUUGUAGGACUCUAAGAGGCAAGAGUCGGUGGAGAAGCGUGAGAUUGUGAAGCAGUCGGGAAAGAAUCCGCUUAAUCCUAAACCAAACAAUGGGCGUUUACCAUCUUCCGCAGGUAAUUUUUCCUACCCCUCUCUUCUAUGUUAUUUGCCCUAAAUCUCUAGGAUUAUGCUGCUCAAUCCUGUUUGUUCUGGUUUGUGGAUGAGAACGAAUCGAACUGGAUGAUGUGGGAGGAGAAUUUUCCAAAUCAUAACACAACUUCUUGUGCUGAACCUUAAAAUUUCAGCCAAUGUAGGUUUCCGAUUGUCGAUUUAAUUGGAUUCAUGGGAGUGUUGACUUAAAUCUCUCAAUGCUUUCCCCCACAAGAAUGACACGAAUUCGUGUUCUUACCUUGUGUGUAUUUGAUUUAGACCCAAUGUGGUCUUGCUGUGUACUUACUUUGAUAACUUUACUUGUAUCUUUAAUUUCCCAUAAAGAAUUGAGUUUCAUAGAUGGAAUUCUUAAAAAUUGCCACUUGGUUGUGUUAGUUGUAAUCACUCAAAUCAUUUCAUGUGAAUUGGUGCAGCAUAAGUCUUGGUAAUUGAUCUAUUUAUAUCCAUUAGAAAAGCAUUUUUUCUGUUGACCUGGAAACUCCCAUGUACUUUCGGACAUUCUCAAAGACUUUCUGGUAUCAAUGGAAUGAUCUUUGAAUGUUAAUGGGGCAAGUAUUAGGUGCAUAAAACUCUUUCAAAUGCUUCUUUGUUUACUUGCUUUGGGGGUUGUAUUAAGGAUCCACUUUAGUUCUUGCUUUUAUACAUUGAUAGUUAACCAACUUAUUGGGCAUAGACAAGAAUCUCAUGGUAUGUGUUGUUUGUAAAAAAUUAUCUUGGUUGACAAGAGUUUAGUUAAAUUUAUUUUAAACUUGAGUCGUAGAGGCAAAACCUUAAACAUUAAGGGCCAAUUAAGGGUCCUAACAAAAAGUAUAGUAGACGGAGUGACAAAAAAGCUUUUGAAAUAAAAGUUUUAGGUACUAUUAUUCAACAAGGGAAAGAGAUUGAUGAAAAAUAUUAUUUAGAGAGUAAAGUAUGAAGGGACUCAACAUUUUGUAUGAUCAUCUGACUUUUAUAUAAUUAAAAGAUAAAUAAAAAAUAUUUGUUAGGCUUAUAACAUCCUUGUUAAAUAAAAUUCAGACUUAACAAGUUAAAUAGAUCAAUUAUCCUAUCAAGUCAGAUCGUGACAAAUGGCAUCGGAGGCAGCAUAAUAUUGGACAUGGUUAAAGUAGGAUAGAGCUGUAUGUCACCGCUAGGUUAAAUCUCACAAGUACUCUGCUAAAAUUUAAUUUGAGUUUUGCGAUUUACAUCACAUUUUGGUCGGUUAUCAAAUCUUAAUAGAUAAAAUAAAGAAGAAUCAUCUAAGAUUAUAUAAAUAUGUUUGUGUAGCUCAACCCAAAUAGUUGGCAUCGUGCAACUUAUUGUUAAUGUUAUUGGCCAUAUACUACUAGAAGGCACACAGUUGUCACAAACAUGUUAUAUUAUGAUGAUUUGAACCGACACUUCACAUUUGUUCUGUAAAUGCACAACUUCACAUGCAAGAUUAGUUUAGUAAUGCGCAAACAUGUACAUCAACCUUCCUUGGUCCCGACUAUGCCUUGGGCUGUUAUUUUUCUUAUAGCUUUCAUGUCGAGUUGGUUGUCCAAGAACAGAGCCACAAAACAGGAGUACAUUAAGUUAUGUACUUAGCAAUUAUUCUACCCAUGAAUCUGCAUAGUUGCUUUUAUCCUUGAGUAACACAUCUAUAGCUACGUUAAAGUUUUGAUGUAUCUAUUGGUGUUUCAUAAUUGCGUCAUAUGUAAACUAUGAUGUCAAAUGUUGUGAUCACAGUGCUAGUUGUACUAUAUAUGGAUUUGAAUUUAUGGUGGUUUUAAAGCAAUAUGCACAAAAGGUUGCAUUGUUGUGAUGAGAGUGUUGGGUGGAUAUAUGAAGCACGAGGAAAAACAUAGCAAACAAUAUUAUUUAUGAAUAGUUAGGCAUAAUUUUGAUAAAUCAUAAAAUGUAAAAGAAUUGUAAAGAUAUGUGAAUAUUCUCAAGAGACAUACAUGCGAUUAGACAAGAUGAGACUUUUUGAUUUUUAGAAUGUUAACUAGUUUAGCUGGUAAAAAUUUUAGAUAUUAAUAGCAAUGUCGUAGAUAAUCCUUCUCAACAUUUUUAACAUUCAUAAAUACGAGGUUUUGUAUUCUUACUCUUGAGUUAUAACCUUAGCUUAACUUUAUAGUUUCUAGGCCCAAGUGCCCUCUAGCCUAUCCACUCGAUCUUUCUCUUUUAGUCUGUGAUUGGGAAGUUACAGCAUUGGCAGGUAAGCAACGAUUACCAGAUGUUAAACCGCAUUCACCAGGCAGUUUCUAAGCUGUUAAGAUGUGAUCAACGUACCGAAACACUUGUAUCAAACUUUGCCAUCCCAUUUUCCAUUGGCAUGUUCAAGCUGGAUGUUUUUU